rnacentral:pre_miRNA from 1 species
ACAAUAACAUUCGCACCGUCGGUCCACCGAGCAAUAUCACCCGCUCGGUGGAAGAUCUUCACUUUGUCGUAUACC